rnacentral:rRNA from 1 species
AGAGUUUGAUCAUGGCUCAGGAUGAACGCUAGCUACAGGCUUAACACAUGCAAGUCGAGGGGAAACGACAUCGAAAGCUUGCUUUCGAUGGGCGUCGACCGGCGCACGGGUGAGUAACGCGUAUCCAACCUGCCCACCACUUGGGGAUAACCUUGGCGAAAGUAAGACUAAUACCCAAUGACGUCUCUAGAAGACAUCUGAAAGAGAUUAAAGAUUUAUCGGUGAUGGAUGGGGAUGCGUCUGAUUAGCUUGUUGGCGGGGUAACGGCCGCCAAGGCUACGGAUCAGUAGGGGUUCUGAGAGGAAGGUCCCCCACAUUGGAACUGAGACACGGUCCAAACUCCUACGGGAGCA